rnacentral:rRNA from 1 species
UGACUGCACUAAGGUAGCAUAAUUACUUGCCUACUAAAUGUAGUAUUGUUUGAACGGGUUUAAUAUGAAGGUUUAAAUUUAAUUUUGUUUUAUUUGAAUUUUUCUUUCUGGUGUAGAUCCCAGAACUGAAGGUCUGUGACGAAAAGACCCUAAAGAACUUUGAUUUUAUUUAAGUUAGUAUUUUUGAUGGGAUAUCUGAGAAAUUAGUUUUCUUUUGUGUGCUAUAAAAAGUUUCCUUAGGGAUAACAGGGUAAUAUAAUUUUAGAGGGCAUAUCGAAGAUUUGGAUUACUACCUCGAUGUUGAAUCAUAGUGAAUUGCUGGCGUAGAGGCUUGUAUAUUUAGUCUGUUCGACUAUUUAAACUAUACGUGAUUUG